rnacentral:hammerhead_ribozyme from 1 species
GCACUGCUGAGGAGUCCCAUACUAGGGACGAAACGGUUGUCCAGUGC